rnacentral:rRNA from 1 species
GACGAACGCUGGCGGCGUGCUUAACACAUGCAAGUCGAACGGAAAGGCCCUGCUUUUGUGGGGUGCUCGGGUGGCGAACGGGUGAGUAACACGUGAGUAACCUGCCCUUGACUUUGGGAUAACUUCAGGAAACUGGGGCUAAUACCGGAUAGGAGCUCCUGCUGCAUGGUGGGGGUUGGAAAGUUUGGGCGGUUGGGGAUGGACUCGCGGCUUAUCAGCUUGUUGGUGGGGUAGUGGCUUACCAAGGCUUUGACGGGUAGCCGGCCUGAGAGGGUGACCGGCCACAUUGGGACUGAGAUACGGCCCAGACUCCUACGGGAGGCAGCAGUGGGGAAUAUUGCACAAUGGGCGGAAGCCUGAUGCAGCAACGCCGCGUGCGGGAUGACGGCCUUCGGGUUGUAAACCGCUUUCGCCUGUGACGAAGCGUGAGUGACGGUAAUGGGUAAAGAAGCACCGGCUAACUACGUGCCAGCAGCCGCCGUAA